CCUGUUUGCAAGCCUUAACCCUUGUGUGGUGUUCAUGUGUUUGUUACACAGCCCAUGUUCCCGGGUCUGGUGGACCCACCACAUUAUUAGGCUUUUAAAUCAAUACAGACACAACACUUUAUGUAAAAAUACUUAACAGAUGUUUACUUUAGCUCAAGCGUCAAUUAUAUUUACAUAAUUUAGGGUUCAUAUUUGCCAUUUACCCCUGUGAGAUCACAUUUAUGAUCAGAUGAUCAUUUAGUUUUUUGUGAGAAAACAAUGAAUUUCAAUUAUGAAAAAAGGUUUAAAAAAAGUAACACGAUUUUUGAUCAUUCUUGGUGCUUAUUUCUCAGAACUUAAUCAGAACAGGUGCAAGGGCUUGAAAUGUAACCAUUUUGUAACUUUGUCUGAGGAUAG